rnacentral:rRNA from 1 species
GGAUUCCCCUAGUAACUGCGAGUGAAGCGGGAAGAGCUCAAAUUUAAAAUCUGGUGUGCCCCAUGGUCGCCCGAGUUGUAGUCUGGAGAAGCGUUUUCCGUAUUGGCCGUGUAUAAGUCCCUUGGAACAGGGCGUCAUAGAGGGUGAGAAUCCCGUCUUUGACACGGACUAUCAAUGCUAUGUGAUGCGCUCUCAAAGAGUCGAGUUGUUUGGGAAUGCAGCUCAAAAUGGGUGGUAAAUUCCAUCUAAAGCUAAAUAUAGGCGAGAGACCGAUAGCGAACAAGUACCGUGAGGGAAAGAUGAAAAGCACUUUGGAAAGAGAGUUAAACAGUACGUGAAAUUGCUGAAAGGGAAACGCUUGAAGUCAGUCACAUCUGCCGGGACUCAGCCUUGCUUCUGCUUGGUGUACUUUCUGGUUUGAUGGGCCAACAUCAAUUUUGACCGUUGGAGAAAGGCUUUGGGAAUGUGGCACCUUUGGGUGUGUUAUAGCCCUUUGUUGUAUACAGCGGUUGGGAUUGAGGACUGCAGCACGCCUUCAUGGCCGGGGUUCGCCUACGUACGUGCUUAGGAUGUUGGCAUAAUGGCUUUAAGCGACCCGUCUUGAAACACGGACCAAGGAGUCCAACAUGCCUGCGAGUGUUUGGGUGGAAAACCCAUGCGCGUAAUGAAAGUGAUAGCUGAGAUCCUCUCAUCAGGAGCAUCAGCGCCUGGACUUGAUCUACGGAGACGGUUCUACGGUAGAGCAUGUAUGUUGGGACCCGAAAGAUGGUGAACUAUGCCUGAAUAGGGUGAAGCCAGAGGAAACUCUGGUGGAGGCUCGUAGCGAUUCUGACGUGCAAAUCGAUCGUCAAAUUUGGGUAUAGGGGCGAAAGACUAAUCGAAC